GUCCAACCCAAUUUGCUUGUAAUCGCCCCAUUGUUUAGUAUAGUGCCUGGCAGACAGUAUAAGCACUUAAUAAAUGCUACAAUGAUUAUGAUUAUUAUUAUUAUAAUAAGUGCUGUAGGAGGGGUGAAGGAGGGGUGAAUAAAGGGUGCAAAUUCAAGGGCAGGGUGGAUUCAGUGUGCCUUUUUUGCUUCCUCUGCUUCUUCCAGGAAUCUAGCAUGCUGCCACCAGGCUUCCAAUUACCCAUCAAGCCCCAGAGCCUGCCAGAUGUACACAGAUGUACCGAGCCCCUGCAGUAUUCCAUCUGGGAAAGGCUGAAAGACAGAUUGUGGCAUACAAAUGAACAAUACUCUGAACAUGAUAAUUACAUCACCUAGAAGAGCUUAAGACUGUCAAGGAAUACAUCACCCUCUUCGUCUCCUAUGUGAUAACUGAAGGGCAGUUGGCAACAGGAAUGAAAAAUAAUCAGAACAAGGAUGUAAUCAUCUUGAGAAUGCAAUAUCAAAAAAGGCAUUAGUGAUGCCCAAAUGUUGGGACUGAGAGUUUAUUAGAAGGCUCCAUAAAGUACCUCCUUGGCAUGGACUGUGAGCAAACAAUAAUAAUAAU
rnacentral:lncRNA from 1 species